GGAAUAUCAGCAGCACAUACACUAAAAUUGGGAUAAUACGUUGGCCCCUGUGCAAUGAUGACACACAUAUUCCAUGAAGUGUUCCUUUUUUUA
rnacentral:snRNA from 1 species